GACGAACGCUGGCGGCGUGCUUAACACAUGCAAGUCGAACGGAAAGGCCCUGCUUUUGUGGGGUGCUCGAGUGGCGAACGGGUGAGUAACGCGUGAGUAACCUGCCCUUGACUUUGGGAUAACUUCAGGAAACUGGGGCUAAUACCGGAUAGGAGCUCCUGCUGCAUGGUGGGGGUUGGAAAGUUUCGGCGGUUGGGGAUGGACUCGCGGCUUAUCAGCUUGUUGGUGGGGUAGUGGCUUACCAAGGCUUUGACGGGUAGCCGGCCUGAGAGGGUGACCGGCCACAUUGGGACUGAGAUACGGCCCAGACUCCUACGGGAGGCAGCAGUGGGGAAUAUUGCACAAUGGGCGGAAGCCUGAUGCAGCAACGCCGCGUGCGGGAUGACGGCCUUCGGGUGGUAAACCGCUUUCGCCUGUGACGAAGCGUGAGUGACGGUAAUGGGUAAAGAAGCACCGGCUAACUACGU
rnacentral:rRNA from 1 species